CAAUAUCUUGCUGUCACUGACUUCUCUCCUUGGCCUGGAAACUUCCUGAUUUCAUAGGGUGCCACUGACUGCUCUCUCUGCAACUGCAAAAUCUCUCAAAGGGCCCUGUCCAGUUAGGUCACACAGAGCCAGGCUGAUUAUUUAGAGAGCACACAAUGCCCCCUCACAUGGGGCACAGAGAGGAAGGAAUUUUUUUUUAGGCCAAUUCCAGUCCCUGGAGCUGCAAAUUGCCCUCAGGGCAAAGAAGCCUGCAGAAUAAUUGGGAAGAGUCUGGCAGGAGGGAAGCCAAGAUGCCUGUCAUGGAAGGAAACAUGGAAGACUGCAGAGAAGUUCUUAGAAGCAAGUUCUUCUUGGUGGAUGCCUGAGGUCAUUUUGGUCAGAAU
rnacentral:lncRNA from 13 species